rnacentral:lncRNA from 1 species
GUUUCUUUACUCUCUUGCCUUGAUGCUGGGAAGAUGCAAAUAGAUGAACCGGAGAGUCAGGGCCUGGUGAAUGGGCAAAAGAAAAUGAAAAGAAAAAAAGUCAUUGCAAGAGUCACACGCUGGCACAAUGUGCAUGGACACCUGAGAAGGAGAGGGGCAAGGAAAACCACUCUUUCUCAAAAAACUGUCUACCAGCUUUUGAAUUUCUUCUUGCCUGAAGUGUUCUUUCUUUCUUUCUUUUUUUGGUGAGGAAGACUGGUCCUGAGCUAACAUCUGUUGCCAAUCCUCCUCUUUUUGCUUGAGGAAGAUUGUCCCUGAGCUAAUAUCCGU